rnacentral:rRNA from 1 species
GACGAACGCUGGCGGCGUGCUUAACGCAUGCAAGUCGAACGGAAAGGCCCUGCUUUUGUGGGGUGCUCGAGUGGCAAACGGGUGAGUAACACGUGAGUAACCUGCCCUUGACUUUGGGAUAACUUCAGGAAACUGGGGCUAAUACCGGAUAGGAGCUCCUGCUGCAUGGUGGGGGUUGGAAAGUUUCGGCGGUUGGGGAUGGACUCGCGGCUUAUCAGCUUGUUGGUGGGGUAGUGGCUUACCAAGGCUUUGACGGGUAGCCGGCCUGAGAGGGUGACCGGCCACAUUGGGACUGAGAUACGGCCCAGACUCCUACGGGAGGCAGCAGUGGGGAAUAUUGCACAAUGGGCGGAAGCCUGAUGCAGCAACGCCGCGUGCGGGAUGACGGCCUUCGGGUUGUAAACCGCUUUCGCCUGUGACGAAGCGUGAGUGACGGUAAUGGGUAAAGAAGCACCGGCUAACUACGUG